AUUUCAUUAGUAAAAAAAAUUAUAUUAUCUUGAUAAGGUAAAGUUCAAAAUUGAUGAAAUAA
rnacentral:tRNA from 1 species